rnacentral:rRNA from 1 species
GACCCGACUGCUAUUUGGGUGAGAAUAAGCCAUGCGAGUUGAAUGGGAUACCUAAAGUUCCCAUAGCAAACUGCUCAGUAACACAUGAUCAACUUACCCUAUAGAGAAAAAUAACCUCGGGAAACUGAGGAUAAUGUUUCAUAAUUGAAUUGGCUUGGAAAAGUUUUUCAAUGAAAAGGAUAAAAAAAAUGGUUUUUAUCUGCUAUAGGAUAGGAUCGUGUUCGAUUAUGGUUGUUGGUGAGAUAAUGGCUCACCAAGCCGAUAAUCGAUAGGGGCCGUGAGAGCGGGAGCCCCGAGAUGGGUACUGAGACAACGACCCAGGCCUUACGAGGCGCAGCAGGCGCGGAACCUCCGCAAUACACGAAAGUGUGACGGGGUUACCCAAAGUGUUCAAUUUGAACUGUGGUAGGUGAGUAAUGUCCCCUACUAGAAAGGAGAGGGCAAGGCUGGUGCCAGCCGCCGCGGUAAAACCAGCUCUUCAAGUGGUCGGGAUAAUUAUUGGGCUUAAAGUGUCCGUAGCCGGUUUAGUAAGUUCCUGGUAAAAUCGGGUAGCUUAACUAUCUGCAUGCUAGGAAUACUGCUAUACUAGAGGGCGGGAGAGGUCUGAGGUACUACAGGGGUAGGGGUGAAAUCUUAUAAUCCUUGUAGGACCACCAGUGGCGAANGCGUCAGACUGGAACGCGCCUGACGGUGAGGGACGAAAGCCANGGGAGCGAACCGGAUUAGAUACCCGGGUAGUCCUGGCCGUAAACGAUGCAUACUANGUGAUGGUA